rnacentral:lncRNA from 1 species
UUCAAAGGGAUGUUUUUUCAGGCUGGAACAAUAAAUGUCGCUGUGCAGUUUAAUUCUGGGCUGUGUGUAUCCAUCUAGCUAAGUCUGCAGUUUGUUUCUUCCAAAGACAACUCUUGUACAUAAGUACAGACAUUAAAUUCAUGUGUAUUUGACAACUCUAGUAUAGUAAAUGGGUUCUGCGUGCCUUCCACCUAAUUUUCUUUUCCGAGUUCAUUGCUGCCUCUGCAGUUCAUACAGGUUUGGUGUUUGGUUUUUGUUUGUUUGUUUUACUUUUUAAAUACAACACGUACAGUUUCAUUAGCCCCAGGCCUUGUCAUCCUGUGUUCAUUCAAAUUGAGAUACAAUCUAAAAUUCAUUGAAUUGAAAUAUACUCUCAAUAUAAUACAGCCUUUGUAUCUAGGCAGGUAGGCUUUACUUAUAGUUUAGUUUAAAAUAGUUACAGAGCACGCUUGGCUUCUUGCCAGGUGAUACACUAGGUCUGUUUACAUGGUAUUUCCCUUGUCCUCUGGAAAGGAGGAAGGAAAGCUCACUCAUUUUUCUGUAUAGGUUAAAAGGUCCACAGUGUGGGCUGCCCAGUAUUUAUUCUAUGGCCAAACCAUUUUGAAUUGGUGUAAAGUUUUAAAUGAAUUAGGUCCGCCCCCCCACCCCCUUAUUGGAGUUACAAAAGAUAUUUCCCCCACUCCUUUGUUCCUGUUUGUUUCUGUUCUCAGUCUUUAUUUCAUUCUCGUCUUCUCCCAGCGUGAAUUGCAGACAAGCUGUUCAGCCCUUGUCUACACAUAGAUCAAAGCACCUGUAAGCAAUGCUGUCCAUUUGUUUGUGUGCUCAUUUCUCAGAUCUGCAAUAAUCCAUCAGGUUAAUGUUUUUACCUAAAAAUAAAACAGAUUUGCUUCACCAUUUUUGUUUAUAGUUCUGUGCUGUCACACACACACACACACACACCUGUCUUAAUCACUUACAGUACAAGUAAGUCGUCCUGUGGUCAGAAGUCAAGCAAGGUCUUGCUGCUGUUUACAGCUUCUUGAAGAACAUUAAAUGUGGAAAGGAAGUGGAAGCAGAGCUUUCUUCCUGAGGCUCAAAUGAAGACUAAUAAAUUUGAACUCUGACUUCAUCUCCUUCAAUAUGAGAUGCAUUAUUUAAAAACAAACAAACAAACAAACCUGAACUUUGAAGAAACUAAUUGUACUGACAUAGAGCUGCCUUCUUUAUUCCAUCACCCAAAAGGAAGGUAGUGGGUUAGUUUACUCCUGUAACUGUCAUUCUACACUGACCUUGCCUUAUGUGGAAACAUCCCUUGCUGACAGAAAUCUCUUGACAGUUUGCCCAGUCAGUGGGGAGGAGUUGGGGCCAGGAAGUCUCUGCUCACAGAGGCUUGCAAAUGAGCAGUGUUAUCUGGAGGGAGUUGGGUUCUGCAGCUUCACCUUGAUGGCUAUGGGAUCUGGGCCCCUUUGUCUCCUGUUCUCCUGUUUUACAAACUGAGCACAAAGAUUUUUGUGUGAAAAUAGCAUUGUUUCACCUCACUUUUUAAAGAUCUGUUAAAAUGUAGACAUCUGUAUAAAACAAAGUGAUGUUUCAUAUUAAAAUAAUAUGUAUUUGCAUUUU